rnacentral:lncRNA from 1 species
CCCACCCCCACGCCCCCGUGGUUCUGGUCGCCAGCCUCUGGCCAAUGCCCCUGCAGCCCAGCCCCCGUUUUCCUCCCUGGCACCACCGAGGGGGGCCCGGCCCAGGGCUCUCCAGGAGCCCGCCGUGGGCUGAGUACGGCCGAGGACUGGGCAGGCAGGGCAGCCGGUGGUCGCCGUCCCUCCAGGACACGAGUGCCCCUGCACAGGGGCGGAAGGGGAGGCCCGGGAGCCGGGGAGCCGCGGAGGCCAAGGGCCAGGCCGGCCAGGCCCCAGGGCAGGGCGGGGCGAUCCCAGCGUGCGGCCCUGAGGCACUGUCCCCACACCGCUCCACACUGUCCCGAAGCCCCGAGCGCCAGCCCGGACCCCCGGGACACGCCCCCCACCACACACACACACACACACACACACACACACACACACACACACUCCCCCCCCGACCCCCGGGACACACACCCCCACCCCACCCCCUGCACCCCCGCACCCCCGACCGCUGGGACACCCCCCACACACUCCCCUCCCCUCCAGCAACGCGCGGCGCUCCCAUCCCCCGGCAGCCCACCAGGUGGCGCUCGCUCCCCCAUUUCCCCCCCCCCUCCCGCGCCGACGCCCGUGACGUCAGCCGCCCGGCUCCAUUUGAGCGCCUCUCGGCAGCCGAGAACUCGGACUUCCCGUGUGGCUCACAACAUAACUACUCGGCGUUGCUUCUACAGUGGCUGUGGCUCGACCCCUGGCCUGGGAACUUCCAUAUGCCGCAGCCCCGCGGCGGCAGAUGGCACUCGUUCUGCCGCUUUUUCCUGGCUGUGUGCGAUGCCAUCGCAUGGAUGUCCCCGGGCCUUCGAAGUGCACUCACCUGUCAGUGGACCUUUAGGUGGCUUCCAGAUCUUGGCUCUGGUGAGUAGUGCGGCGACAGACAGAGGGGUGCCCGGGUCUGCUUCCGGGAAAGUUUGGUCCCGGUGAAAUGGAGCUGUUUGGAGGCCGGCUUCGGUCUUUGUGUGGGCCGGCCCGUGUAGGGCUGCUUGGCUGAGACUCUGUCGAGGAGGGAGGCCUUCAGCCACCGGGGCCUCACGGGGCCUCCCCGUGCGGCACCAUCACAGAGCUCUCCGUCACUGCCCCUGGUGGGGGUGAGGGAAGGGGCGUGUUUGGGGGGUGGGGUGGGCGGGGUGUGUGCGCGCGCGCGUGCACGCACGCUGGCGGGCGUGGGUGUCCCGGGGCCUGGCCAGCCCUCCGCUAGAGAUCAGCACGCGUGGAUGCUGACGUGAGGACCAGCAGGGUGACAAGAGAGGCUGCCUGGUGGGUGACCGCGCUGGGCAGAGCCACAACCCGCUCGCCUUUCAGUUCUCCACCCAGGGGCCCCUCCUGCGAGCCACCCAUAGGGGUCCCUGGUCCCUCCCUCAGACGUCGUCUCCACCGCGGCCCGAGAUCAUCUUUCUUCUCCAGUGGGUUCCUUGUCUCUUGCGUACCACCCUCUCCACCCCCCACCCCCACCCCCACCCCACCCCCACCCGGCUUGCCCUUGGACAGACGGCGAGAAGCUGACCGAGAGACCGAGACAGAGACAGGAGAUGAGCCGAGGCCGGUGGGCAAAUGGUGCAGAGAGGGCUUGUCCGACGCAGGGUUGCCCCAGAACUUCACACACACGCACGCACACACGGACACACACGCACAGACACACGCCCGCGCACACACACACACGCACACCAGCCCCGGCCCAGCGGCCCGGCGACCCCUCUCUGUGAACGGCCUUGAGGCCACGUGCCGGGCCACGCGGAUCCCCCAGUGCCCGAGGGCCCUGGCGGCCCACAGGGAUCCAAGGGCAAGGCGGGUGGGAGGCUGGCAGGGUCCACGUGCCACGAGAAGCAUGGCUUGCAGGCACGACCUCUGCCCAGAGCCUGUUUCCGC